rnacentral:rRNA from 1 species
AGAUACCCUAUUAUUUUAAGCUAUAUAUUGGUAGUAAUUAAUAAUUUAUGAAAUCAUAAGAUUUUGGCGGUAUUUUAAGCUUAUUAGAGGAAUUUGCUCUGUAAUGGAUACAACGCCUUAAUCUUACUUAAUUUGGUUUAAAAGUCAGUUUGUAUACCACUAUAUUUAAUUAUAUUGAAUAAUUAUAUUUAAGAUUUUUUUUUAUAAAAAAUAUAUUAAGUCAAGGUGCAAUUUAUAAUUAUGAAUGAAGUGAAUUACAUUAAUUUUAAUUUUACUUAAAUAUUGAAAAAAAAAUUAUAGGAUUUAAUAGUAAAAUG